AUUGAACGCUGGCGGCAGGCCUAACACAUGCAAGUCGAGCGGAUGAAGGGAGCUUGCUCCUGGAUUCAGCGGCGGACGGGUGAGUAAUGCCUAGGAAUCUGCCUGGUAGUGGGGGAUAACGUCCGUACACGGGCGCUAAUACCGCAUACGUCCUGAGGGAGAAAGUGGGGGAUCUUCGGACCUCACGCUUUCUGCUGAGCCUAGGUCGGAUUAGCUAGUUGGUGGGGUUAAGGCCUACCAAGGCGACGAUCCGUAACUGGUCUGAGAGGAUGAUCAGUCACACUGGAACUGAGACACGGUCCAGACUCCUACGGGAGGCAGCAGUGGGGAAUAUUGGACAAUGGGCGAAAGCCUGAUCCAGCCAUGCCGCGUGUGUGAAGAAGGUCUUCGGAUUGUAAAGCACUUUAAGUAGGGAGGAAGGGAAGUAAGUUAAUACCUGGCUGUUUUGACGGUACCAACAGAAUAAGCACCGGCUAACUACGUG
rnacentral:rRNA from 1 species